UUUUGGUGGUAUAUGUAAAUCCGUAUCGUUUUCGUUUCGUCUUUCGCUCUGAGUGUGUGCAUGUGUUGUUAGAUUUGGAGUUUAAUCCCUUUUUUUAAAAAAAGGAUACCAUUAGAAAGCCAUUACUCAUCUCCCACGACAAGAUCAGACAGACACACACAUUGCAGGCAAGAAGCAAAAUCAGCAACGAUCGUGUAAAAAAAAGGGGGUUGUCUCUGUCUCUCUCUUGGUGUUUGAAGGAGCGAGUUAAUUAUAGAUAUAGCUGUAGGACAGACAGCCGGAGCUGGGUGAAGAGGAGGCGGAGACCUCGGGGGCUGAAUCGUGGACCGGGGGUAGAGCCAUCCUAAAGCCAUUCUGAAUAUCCAGUGUUUGAUAAACUGUCUUAAAGAAACAGCGCAAGUUUAAUGGCGGAAGGAGGACUUAACUGAGGGGGUGGGGUUGGUGCUUUGUAGAGAUUGAAGACUUCUGUCCCGCUUGCCUCUUCAACAGUGUUGCUAUUCAUUAUGGCCAGCAAAAGAAAGUCUACAACUCCUUGUAUGAUACCGGCCAAAUCCCUGACCAUGCACGAAGCAGAAAUGGACAUUACUCCAGAGUACAACGAUGACGAUGAAGCCUCUCCACAAGUAUUUCCUGUUGAGGACCUUUCUGCUAGCGAGGAGGCAUUCACAGUGAUCAGUAAUAAUGAUGUUGCAGAACAUGGUGGAUUUGAAUGCAAGUACUGCAAUUACACAAGUCAGGACUACCACACGUUUACUGUGCAUAUAGAAUCAGAGCACUCUGACGCAAGUGUGGACCAACUUUAUGUCUGUGUUGAGUGUAACUUCAGUGCCAAGAGUCAGGAGUCUCUGACAGUGCACAACACCCUGAGCCAUCCUAAUGAGGCCAACCUGAAAGUGAGUGUCAUAAAAAAGAACAGCCAGACAGUUCUUGAGCAGAGCAUCACUGAGACCAAAAACAAUGACGGAAAAGAAAAUGGAGAUGAAGCGGAAAUGCAGUCGGAAAUCUCCAUUAGCAAAACGCCUAUCAUGAAAAUGUUGAAGGCCAAGCCGGAAGGCAAGCGGAUCACCGUCUCUCAUGCUGGGAGGGAAGAAUCCAAUGAUGAAGGAGGAGCGACUGAUGAGGCUGUGAAAAAGAACGAGGCUGGGGAUGUAGUGGAGGUUCUGUCUGCCAAUGGUCUGACAGCACCUUCUCAUACCGUCAAUGGAACGGCCCUUGUAUCUGUGCCAGUCCUGCAGGCUGGUGUGACACAGUUAGUCCCUGUCAUACAACGGCCAGCAUCCAACAACAGCUCUAACCCUCUUCCCAAAGUCAUGAUCCCGUUGAGCAGUAUCCCUUCAUACAACGCUGCCAUGGACUCCAACAGCUUCCUCAACAACUCCUUCAACAAGUUCCCCUACCCUUCAAAGGCUGAGCUAUGCUGGCUGACUGUGGUGACCAAGUACCCGGAGGAACAGCUCAAGAUCUGGUUCACUGCCCAGCGGCUGAAGCAUGGCAUUAGCUGGACGCCGGAGGAAAUUGAGGACGCUCGCAAGAACAUGUUCAACACCAUCAUCCAGAGUGUGCCUCAGCAGACCAUCACGGUGCUGCCCACCCAGAUGACCCAUGCCAAUGGAGGGCAGCAUUUGCUGCAGGCCAACUUCCCUUGCCAGCUACUGACCCAGGGGGGCAACAUUGUGGUCACCCAGCCUGGCGGGGUGGUGAAGGGAGCUGCCAUGUCGGGCGCCCCUGUUGCGGUCAGCCUCGCCACCCUCCCCAAACCGCAGAACUCUCCCAAGUUUCAGGUGCAGAAGGCAGGGGGCUCGGUAGUUGCUUCCAAUGUUAAGAUCUUGGCCGCUCCCCCCUCGACAGCGGUCCAGCCGGGGGCAGCCGCUGUGACGUCCAGCCAUCUCUCCACCACCAGCCUGAUUUCGGAGUUCGGCACCUACAAGUACAAGAAAACGAAGGAGCAGCUGGCUGCCUUGAAGCAGAGCUUCCUGCGGAAUCAGUUCCCAGAGCACGAAGAGGUCGACCGGCUGGUGAGGGUCACCGGGCUGCAGGGCAAAGAGAUCCGCAAAUGGUUCAGCGACCGACGCUACAACUACAAGAACCUCAAGUGCAACCAGCCCUUCGAUGCUGGCGCCGCUGCCAACGCCGUUUCCGUCGAGCCGGCCCCCGAGGAGACGUCCACCCCGCCGCCUCCACCUCCGCCAGCUGGCCCCCAAUCGUCGCCGGCCCCCCAGGCCCGCCGCCAGUGGCAGACCAGCUCCGACUUCACCCCACCCAAGUUCAAGGGCAAGUCGGCCGAGCAGCUGAGCGCCCUGGAGCACAGCUACGCGCAGAACCCCUUCCCAACCGAGGAAGAAGUCGACCGGCUGCGGGCUGAGACCAAGAUGACCCGGCGGGAGAUUGACCUCUGGUUCGCCGAGCGGCGGAAAGCCAAACCCGACGAUAGAACCGCCAAGGCCCGGCGGCGGGCCGAGGAAGGUGGCGGGCGGGCGGACGCCGACUCCGGUGAGGAGGAGGAAGCGGAGGAGGACGAGGAUGAUGAGGAGGAGGAGGAGGAGGAAGAGUCAGACGGCGAGGGGACGCCGAGCGACAGCAGCUCGGUGGACAUGAAGCGUUUGAUCGUGGCCCCGGAGAGGCUCAAGGUGAGCCCCUUGAAGGUUUGCGCGAGGGACGGCUCAGGCAUGUGCGGGCCGCAGCCCAAGGCCGGCAAAGCGUCGCAGCCGCCGGGCGCGUCGCUGCCCAACCCGGUCAAGUACAAAGGCCAGAACAAGAAGACGGUGCACCAGCUGCACCUGAUGAAGCUGCAGUUCAUGCGGACCCAGUGGCCGACCGUUGAGGAGUACGACGAGCUGGCCAUCAAGUCGCGGCUGCCGCGCACCGAGGUCGUCCGCUGGUUCGGCGACGCGCGCUACGCCCUGAAGAACGGGCAGCUGAAGUGGUACGAUGACUACAAAAAGGGGAUCUACGCCAUCCGCUCAGGCAGCAACAGCCUGAUCAGUGACGUACCAUGUGACGGCUACCGGCCCAAACGGACGCCUUCGAAAAAGGGUGGGAAGGCAGUGCUGUUCGAAUACUACACGCAGCACCGCACGCUGCACGAGGAGGACCUCGACCGCCUCUGCGAGCGUUCCAGCAUGAGCUACGAGCAGGUCCGUGACUGGUUUGCCGAGAAGCAGACCGAGGACGCCAUGUACAUGUCCGACUUCAGCAACGAGGACCAGCAGUCGACCAACGGCGAGGCCGAGAGGGCCAGGGGAGCGCCGCGCUUGACGGCCUCCGCCUCGGCCACCUCCUCGGCCUCAGCCGCCGCCGCCGCUGUGCUGGAGGAGGCCUACUCGGACGUGACGGACAACAGCGACAACUGGGAUGCCCCGUUGACGCGGGAGGACCAAGCCGAGCUGAACGAGUUCGACACCGAGAACGUCUCCGGUGAGGCCUGAAGUGCGGACCAGCGAGGUUUACAGUAAAAGCUAGGGUUGGUUUUAAAAAAGAGAUGUGGAAGAAAUAUAAAACAAGGGACUGGUGUCUCGCCGUGGGUGCCCGACUGGUACGGCUGAUGGAGUGGCUCAAGACUAGGAUGCUCCUGAGAUGAGCCCCUCAAAAGGCACAAAACAGACAGUGCUGGAGAAACUCAGCAGAAGCAGAAUGAUGCGAGGUUGCCACCUUCAAAGAAAAGGAAUGAUGCUGUGGUUUAUUUCUGGUUGAGGAAAGUCUUCGACUAUUUUGGGGCCUAAAGCUGCCUGUUGCUGCUACUCGGACUGAUCAAAUGCUGUUAUGGGAGGCUGCAGCUGUGGUUCAAACACUAGGUUUUAUGUGUGUGUGCACGUGUGUGUCAUGGCACUAUUACUGUAAAUAGACAGUGACAUAACUGAUGCAGGAAGGACAAGAUGCCCACCUGCAUUUUUAGCACCCAACAGUUGCCACAGUCAAGGAAUUCACUUCAGUGCACAAAGCUCUUUGUAAGUGAUCGGUCAAAGAGCAACCUUUUAACAUAUUUGUAAAAUUAUGCCUUUUAUCAGGUGAAUCCAUAUCGAGAUAAUUGUGAUGGUGGUGGUGCUGACGUUCAAUGUUUGAAACAGAGCCAAGCACUGUGAGAUAUUCUUGUUGGGCCAUCAUUCCUCAUCAGGGAGAAACCUGUUUGUAAAAUAAUUUCCUAUAUCUCUGCUUGCACAAGGAAUGAGACCAGCAUCAGUUCAAUUUUUACUUUCUUGCUAUUUAACCUGUUUUUUUUCUACUUCCCUCUCCUGAACCAUUUUCCCCCAAAUCUCCCAUUCCCCCUCAUUUUGUAUCUGUGCUUCAGAUGGCACUUUAUUUAUGGAGCAAUGGACAAUUAAACCAAUUCCCAUCUACAGAUAGCAAUGGCAAUUAAUGGCUGUGUGGCAAAGUAUGGCAUGCACCAAUAAGUUAAUUAUCAGCCACAAAGUAGAGAGUAACCUUGCAGGACAUGUUAGUGCAAGGACAGUGAAGUGAGGCGGUUAGAUAUCCUGAUCUUAAUGACGUCUCUUAAUGUCAAUAGAGGCCUUGAAUUGGGUUUAAUAAAACAUUGUAAGCAUUUCUUUUAGAGCCUCAUGCCACUCAUUUUAAGUGGGACAGGAUAUACCAAAAUGGCAUUUACAAGAAGCAUUAUUUUGGAAAGUAAUUUUUAUUGGGGUUACAAUGUAACUGGAUUCACUUGGAUGUCCAGUCCAAUACAUUUGGUAUUUAAGUAGCAACAGAUAGGUUCACUUUUUAUUCAGCGGCAUGAACAAGAGGCUAGUUCUGUACUCGACAGAGUAGGAAUUGCCCAGGAGAUAAUAUGCAGUCAGGACUGUGUUAAUUUUAAAAUAUGUAUAUGUUGUUGGUGUGUGUGUGUAUUAAACAGUUAUUGUCACAAUGAGAAACCAAAAAGAUAUAAUUUUUUUGCCUAAGGCAGGUCUUCAUCAUAAAGACUCGAUAAAGAAAGGAGGGAUCUGUGAGAUGGGAGACAGAUAGUAGGAUCUGCCGAUGCUGGAGAAUCUGAGAUAACGAGGUGUAGAGCUGAAUGAACACAGCAGGCCAAGCAGCAUCAGAGGAGCAGGAAAGCUGACGUUUUGGAUCUGGACCCUUCAUAAAUCUGUGAGAAGGGAUCUGUUUGGGUUAUGGUAGGACACAUGGAAAAAUGAACAGAUAUUCAGGCAGAACUGUUGGAUUAUCAGAUUGGUACUACUGAGAAGCCAAAGCUGGCAAAGAUGGUUCUGGACUUAUUGCACUCAGCUAGUCCGUUCUUCGGAUUGCUGAAUGUAUUCCGUAGUUGGUGUUUGACCGAGAGUUAACCCUGCUUUGAUGCAAAACUAAAACUUGUUUCUGUGAAGAAACUGGUGGGGAGGCAGGUACAUGAAGGGCUUUUGCACCAGGAGCCCUUAAUUUAGCAGAUUAGAUUCUCAAAUGAAUUAAUCAGUGUUGCUGAUGGCAACAUUUUUUCCUCAUUGGUUGACCAUUAUCUGGUCUUUUCAAAAGUAAUUCUUAUACUUUCAAAUCCUUUCUUCUUUCUAGGUAAUGAGAUGGAAUUAGUAAUUAUGGAACUGUUGCCCUUCUUUAAAUGUUUUAUUGUAAGGCUGACGGCAUUUCCUGGUGAGUUGCCUUUGUUUCUAUGUGAUCGUGUUGGAUAAAGACAGUUCCCUCCUACGUCUGUGAAAUUCAGUGACAAUAUUUGAUUUGAAGCUUUAGUCAUAAUUUUGAUGCUUUUAGUUGUUAGUAGAGUAAAACGCCCCUUGGCAGAGCAAAUCUUAAGUCCUUUUAGUAAACCGGCAGCUCGUCUAAUCCACAAUGAGAAUUUUAUCGAAAUAGCAAUCAAGAUUAUUGCUAGAAUGGCAACAUGCUUGAAUUCCGUUGUCAACAGUUGGAAUUUAAAGCUACUUUUGUCAGAAACCCAAAUCCAGUUCUGAAAAUCUUGCAGUUUUGGAUUUAGGAUUUAUUUUACUCGCAACAUUAAGAUUUCCUUCAAAGGCAGUUGGUCUAGUGAGGUUGUGGAAUGGGUAACUCGAGUAUACAGACGAACAAGGCUGCUGGGUUUUCCCCAUGCCAGCCAGUCAAAGCUCAGACUUUAGUAGAUGGCUACAAUUUGAAGUCUAGUGUUGAAAAGGGUAAUGACACUCAAUAUUUCACCUCUGGGUUACUAGACAGUGAUUCCCUGUCGGAAGUACAUAAUUACACGUUUCAAUGAGGGUGGAUCCUGAUUAUAUGUUCUUUCUUUCCUCCCCACGCAUCUGCUGGGACUCAUGGGCAGACAUAGUGACAUACUGAUAUCUGUAAAAGCCGUCAUAAAUAUGUCACAUAGUUGUAAAAAAAAAUGUCCUUUAGGCCAGGGAAGUUUGCUAUCCUUAGCCGUUCUGUCCAUUGUGUGACUGCAGUCCUGGGUCAAUUGACUGCCCCGAAGCAGCCUCACAGUCUGUUGUAUUUCACUUAAGGACACCCUACGACCACAUUCUGGCAUCAUCUAAUGAUGGACAAUAAAAUGCUUGCUGCUCAGCAAUGCCAAAUAUGAUUAAAAAUCCAAAAUGGCCACCUUGGCAAGGUUUAUGGUCAACUAUAGAAAUGCUGGCUGUUGAAG